rnacentral:rRNA from 1 species
CCUACGGGCGGCAGCAGUGAGGAAUAUUGGUCAAUGGACGAGAGUCUGAACCAGCCAAGUAGCGUGAAGGAUGACUGCCCUAUGGGUUGUAAACUUCUUUUAUAUGGGAAUAAAACGUUCCACGUGUGGGAUUUUGUAUGUACCAUAUGAAUAAGGAUCGGCUAACUCCGUGCCAGCAGCCGCGGUAAUACGGAGGAUCCGAGCGUUAUCCGGAUUUAUUGGGUUUAAAGGGAGCGUAGGUGGAUUGUUAAGUCAGUUGUGAAAGUUUGCGGCUCAACCGUAAAAUUGCAGUUGAAACUGGCAGUCUUGAGUACAGUAGAGGUGAGCGGAAUUCGUGGUGUAGCGGUGAAAUGCUUAGAUAUCACGAAGAACUCCGAUUGCGAAGGCAGUUCACUGGACUGCAACUGACACUGAGGCUCGAAAGUGUGGGUAUCAAACAGGAUUAGAUACCCCAGUAGUC